AUUUUGGUACUUAAUAUUAGCAACAUACCAUUUUGGUUUUUUUUUUAUAUUUUUUCAAUAAAAAAACCUAGAAACUAGCCAUAUACGAUAAAAAAUCAUAGUCAUCUAGUGUAAUAUGAUUCUUUAUCCUUUUAUUUGGGCACGUGGAAUCCCGUGUGAAUCAGCAAGGACCACCUUGCAAGGCUAAAUACUCCUGGGUGAUCGAUAACGAAGUAGUACCGUGAGGGAAGGGUGAAAAGAACCCCCGUCGGGGAGUGAAAUAGAACAUGAAA
rnacentral:ncRNA from 1 species